CUUCCUUCAAUUUAGUUCUUCUGCAACCUUAUGCUUCUGCAACCUCAACUUGGUUCUUCUGCAACCUCCAAUCUUGUAAGUCAUUCUUAUUUCAAAAGCCUUCUGCAAAUCCAUGGUCACUGAUAUGACGAAGCUGAUGUGAACGCCAGAGGCCGCGAUGCUUACCGGAAUAUUCAAGACACAUGAAGAUACCAUAUGCUACCAAAGCCCACUGAGGGUUCUUCUGAGAGGCAGCAAUUGAUGUCCGAUCCUGGGGAGCGAUUCUCUUUGAACCGACCAUGACUUUGGGGUUGGAUCACAGAUUCGCUCAUUCUCUGUGUUCUGAAGACCUCGCACGAGCUCUCCUCUCUGCCUCACCUCUCUCUUUUACCGCUCAUUCUUCCUCCUUCAAAUUUCAACUUCCAUCUUCCAUUUUCAAAAUUGCUUCUUCUUCCAGGGGUUUCCCUUCUCUUUGAAUUAUAAUAGUAUAAAUCGGAAGGGAGAGAUAGAGAGAGAGAGAGAGAGAGAGAGAGAUGUAAUCUGAAAGUCGAAUCUCUCUCAAAAGAGAUAUAUUUUCAAAGCUAUCUAAAGUGUCCUAUGGUGAUCGAUCUCUGCUCGGCCUCCGAGAGUUCUGAUCUCGGGAUGGGUCUCAGAAUUUUGUUUUCUCAUAAUCUAUGCCACUCAGAUGUCGUUACCGUCGAAGAAUAUUGUGCAUCUCUUUUGGAUUCCAGUUUCGAUUUUGAUUUCGGCGUUCCAGCAAGCUUCGAACAAGAACCACCAUUUUCCGCUGAUGAGCUUUUCUUUGACGAACAAAUCCUUCCUUGUCAAAUUUGGGAGAAAACACAAAUAGUACCUCCUUCGAAACAAACCCAUCAAGCUAAGCCUCCUCUUCUUCCGCCUCUGCCUCUACCUCUGUUUCCUCCCCCUUCUCCUACUGAUACUACGGCGACAACAGUAACGAUGUUGAAGACGAGUACAAAAACCCUAAAAUUGAAUCUGUAAUCCAACCCCUAACCGGUCCAGAUGAGAAACCGUGGUCGGUUCAGGAGUUUGUAAACCAAAUAAUAAGUAUCCUUCUCACUCCAAUUCUGCACCA